UUCGACGCAACGCGCAAGACCUUACCUGGAUUUGACAUCCCGGGCUCACCUCAGAGAUGAGGUUUUCUCUUCGGAGACCCGGUGACAGGUGCUGCAUGGCUGUCGUCAGCUCGUGUCGUGAGAUGUUGGGUUAAGUCCCGCAACGAGCGCAACCCUUGUCCCUAGUUGCCAGCAUUAAGUUGGGCACUCUAGGGAGACUGCCGGUGAUAAGCCGGAGGAAGGUGGGGAUGACGUCAAGUCCUCAUGGCCUUUAUGUCCAGGGCUACACAAGAGAUACAAUGGGGGUGACAAAGAGAGGCCAGAGCCGAGGAAGGUGGGCGAGUAUAUCUCAAACCCACCCUGUCAGGAUGGCUCGCAGUCGACAAGUCGGCGGGGUGAAGUUGGAGUCGUUAUUAUUCCGGGAAUCGAAACCCCGGGGGAAAAGGUUCCCGGGCCCUUGUACACACCGCCCGUCACACCAUGGGAGUUGACAGGGGCAGAAGACGUUGAGCUAACCGCAAGGAGGCAGACGUCCAAGCUCUUGUCGAUGACUGGGGUGAAGUCGUAACAAGGUAGCC
rnacentral:rRNA from 1 species